rnacentral:rRNA from 1 species
GACGAACGCUGGCGGCGUGCUUAACACAUGCAAGUCGAACGGAAAGGCCCUGCUUUUGUGGGGUGCUCGAGUGGCGAACGGGUGAGUAACACGUGAGUAACCUGCCCUUGACUUUGUGAUAACUUCAGGAAACUGGGGCUAAUACCGGAUAGGAGCUCCUGCUGCUUGGUGGGGGUCGGAAAGUUUCGGCGGGUGGGGAUGGACUCGCGGCUUAUCAGCUUGUUGGUGGGGUAGUGGCUUACCAAGGCUUUGACGGGUAGCCGGCCUGAGAGGGUGACCGGCCACAUUGGGACUGAGAUACGGCCCAGACUCGUACGGGAGGCAGCAGUGGGGAAUAUUGCACAAUGGGGGGAAGCCUGAUGCAGCAACGCCGCGUGCGAAAUGACGGCCUUCGGGUUAUAAACCGCUUUCGCCUGUGACGAAGCGUGAGUGACGGUAAUGGGUAAAGAAGCACCGGCUAACUACGUG